GGGGGACCUUCGGGCCUCUUGCCAUCGGAUGUGCCCAGAUGGGAUUAGCUUGUAGGUGGGGUAACGGCUCACCUAGGCGACGAUCCCUAGCUGGUCUGAGAGGAUGACCAGCCACACUGGAACUGAGACACGGUCCAGACUCCUACGGGAGGCAGCAGUGGGGAAUAUUGCACAAUGGGCGCAAGCCUGAUGCAGCCAUGCCGCGUGUAUGAAGAAGGCCUUCGGGUUGUAAAGUACUUUCAGCGGGGAGGAAGGGAGUAAAGUUAAUACCUUUGCUCAUUGACGUUACCCGCAGAAGAAGCACCGGCUAACUCCGUGCCAGCAGCCGCGGUAAUACGGAGGGUGCAAGCGUUAAUCGGAAUUACUGGGCGUAAAGCGCACGCAGGCGGUUUGUUAAGUCAGAUGUGAAAUCCCCGGGCUAA
rnacentral:rRNA from 1 species